rnacentral:lncRNA from 1 species
AAUGCAAGAAGGUCCAUUUGUUGCAGACUGAUGUUGCUGCAGGUUGUGGGCAUUGUUGAAGGUUCGAUGUAUUAUAGGACUGGUUUGUCAUGGUAGGCAAGGAAAAAUGCAAAGCAAUGUGUGGCAAGGUUGUUGCAGCAGUAGGCUCUUGUAGAUUUGCAACAGGGUUCCCAGUAUGAACAUACUGCAUAAACUCCUCCUUAGGAUCCAUCCAGAGUUGGGUGUGUAGCACUGAAUCAUUGUCUUUGGUUGGUUUGAAGUGGUUAUGAACUCAUCAUUUGGCUUUCCCUCGGAGGCAAGUCUUUUAGCGAGUUUUUGUGCAUCAUCGACGUAAGCUUGAACUCUAUCUGACAAAACAAUAAUCUGGUACAGGUCAAUAAGAUCAUCACUUGCAGAAGCAGUAGCAGAAUAAGCAGCAAGCUCAACCAGAGUCAACUCAGAUAGAAAAACAUAAACAGCAACAGAAUGUAAAAAGGCCAAAGUCCAACUCGGUUCAGAAUUCUCAUUCAUCAGGUUUACCUUCCACUCAUUAAACAAUCUCUUAGCUUUCUUUCUAAGAGGCAUAAUCUCUUUCUGACAAGAGUAAUUGUUCUGCAGGCCAGAGGAAACAAAAGAUUUUCUUGAGCUAUGCCUCCUCUCUGCCUCUUCUAUAUCUGAUUCCAAGCACUUUAAUUGUUCA